GGAAUUGUUCGCAAUGGGCGCAAGCCUGACGACGCAACGCCGCGUGGAUGAUGAAGGCCUUCGGGUUGUAAAAUCCUUUUCUGAGGGAAGAUAAUGACGGUACCUCAGGAAUAAGUUCCGGCUAACUACGUGCCAGCAGCCGCGGUAAAACGUAGGGGACAAGCGUUAUCCGGAUUUACUGGGCGUAAAGCGCAUGUAGGUGGCGCGGAAAGUUGGACGUGAAAGCUCCCGGCUUAACUGGGAGAGGUCGUUCAAAACUGUCGUGCUUGAGGUUGGAAGAGGAGAGCGGAAUUCCCGGUGUAGUGGUGGAAUGCGUAGAUAUCGGGAGGAACACCAGUGGCGAAAGCGGCUCUCUGGUUCACACCUGACACUGAGAUGCGAAAGCGUGGGGAGCGAA
rnacentral:rRNA from 1 species